GCCGAGGUAGCCCAACGGGAGAGGCGCGGAACUCAAAAUUCCGUUGUUGCGGGUUCGAGUCCCGCCCUCGGCA
rnacentral:tRNA from 1 species